AAGGGCUAAUGGUGGAUGCCUAGACUGUAAGAGGCGAUGAAAGACGUAUUAGGCUGCGAUAAGCCUCGGGGAGCUGCCAAAGAGCUUUGAUCCGGGGAUUUCUGAAUGGGGCAACCCAAUAUAAUGAGAAUUAUAUUACCCUACGGGGAGCGAAC
rnacentral:sRNA from 1 species